rnacentral:tRNA from 1 species
GGGGCUGUAGCUCAGUAGAAGAGCGCUUGCCUAGAAUGCAUGAGGCACUGGGUUCGAUCUUCAGCACCACA